rnacentral:rRNA from 1 species
AUUGAACGCUGGCGGCAGGCCUAACACAUGCAAGUCGAACGAGUGGCGGACGGGUGAGUAAUGUCUGGGAAACUGCCUGAUGGAGGGGGAUAACUACUGGAAACGGUAGCUAAUACCGCAUACCAUCAGAUGUGCCCAGAUGGGAUUAGCUAGUUGGUGGGGUAACGGCUCACCAAGGCGACGAUCCCUAGCUGGUCUGAGAGGAUGACCAGCAACACUGAAAGUGGAACAGGGUCCAGACUCCGACGGGAGGCAGCAGGGGGAAAUAUUGAACAAUGGGCGCAAGCCUGAUGAAGCCAUGCCGCGUGUAUGAAGAGGGCCUUCGGGUGGAAAAGUACUUUCAGCGGGGAGACGUUACCCGCAGAAGAAGCACCGGCUAACUCCGUGCCAGCAGCCGCGGUAAUC